UUUCCUCUUCUUAUUUUCUGCUUACAAGUAUCUCAGUUAUUUGUCUUUCUCCGGAGUAUACUUUUGUUUUGAAUGGGGGAUAAACAGAUAUAGGUAUCAGUACUACUGUUUUAACGUAUCAUAAAUUCAAACAUGCAAAACUGAAGCUUUCAAACAGCCUCUUCUACUGCGUUGCUAAGCAACUAAAUUAGCUAUGGCGUCUUGCGCCAGCCGAUUGGUGGAACAACAAAGGGUGUUCCAGAUCUUAACUAGGCUAGCCUCUCUCGGAAGCCUAGUUUACUUCUCCUAGGAGCAAGGAUUCUCCGUGUAUGCUGUCUCAUACGUUCACUCUAAGCGUGAACAAGAGAUUUAUUAACCAACGUGAGGAAAGAAGCACUGUGGGCGUAUUGGUAAUUCAUCUUAGAGACUUCUUUAUUAGUAGCGUUCCUAAAAUUUUACCCUACACAUGACCAAAAGUAAAUAGUGCGCGUGACCUUUGACCACACCUUCAGCUAUGGCCACCGUAGGCUCUGAAACUUUGUCCUGCGAUCGUUCUGCUGUUACCCUUACAAUUCGAUCGAUCAUGCAAGGCAAGGUGAAGUUGGUAGU